AAUUAUUUUAAAACUGUAAAAGGCUUGGGCUGGGGAUUUAGCUCAGUGGCAAUGCACCUGCCUUGCAAGCACACGGUCCUGAGUUCGAUCCCUAGUACCAAAAAAAAAAACCAAAACCAUAAAAGGCAUAAUAAAAGUUCCCCUUCAUAAGAAUACACAUUUACACAAUGGCAUAUGAAACCACAUGUGAUCUGAGGUGGGGAGGAAUAAGUCACUCAUCUUGUAAACACAGCAUUUCGGCACAGACAGGUUAUCUGCUUGGCAAUUUUACAUGUCUAGCUUUCAUAAUUAGGGCCAUGACUCCUUCGCCUCAUGUGAAGCCAGUUUUGCUUUCAAGCUCAAAGUAGAUUUUGCUUUAAGAAGAGUUGAGUGACUUCAGCUUGUGCUGAUAUUCAGAUAACUGGUUGUUUCACCCAUAAGUUUUUGUUUGUUUUUUCUCUGCAGUGCUGGGGACCUCCUGCAUGCAAGCAAAACAGCCAGUUCCCCACUGCUCACAGGUCUGUCAGCAUACGAGGUAUCCUUGCUCCCUGUGGCAGCUUCAACACUCUCUGCAGGACUUUCCUACCCACCACUGCCAGCACCUGCAUCCCUCAAGUGGCAUAGGGGCCACGUGCAUGCCCAGCCGUGGAGCAGCAGGCUGUGAGAGGCCAUAACUAAUGGCUUUCUCUUCUGUCCAAGAUGGGCGUGGUGGUGCACAUCUGUAAUCCCAAGGCAGAAGCAGAAGGAUCACUGUGAGUUCAAGGCCUGCCUGGAGUAUAUAGUGAGUCCCUGUCUCAAAAGACAACCAAAUAAACAAACAAAAGUUUUCUUCCCUUCUCUUCCUUGUUCCCUCCUUUCAAGACUUAUUUAAGUAUCUUUUCCUGUGUGUAUUGGGAACAAUCUG
rnacentral:lncRNA from 1 species